rnacentral:lncRNA from 1 species
AAGUGUCUUUAAGUGGCUAAAGUUGCAAUCCGGCCCUCGUGAUUCUUUGUAUCUCGUAACUGCCUUUAAGUGGUGCAUUUUUUCUUUUUGACCUCACAGUUUCUUUCUGAAACGGUAUGACCUUUUGUUUUAUUUAUUUAUAAGUAGAUCCAGUUCAGUAUAGGAUUUUAUGACUAAUCACUCUGAUUACUCUUUUAAAGAGUUCCUACUUGUUUCAAGCUCUCCCCGAUACUGCAAUUUACAACAUAAGAACGAAGGCAGAGGUUGACAAAUUCACGGACGAAAUCUGGGCCUUUCUAAUCUGGGCUCUAUGGAAAGCGAACUUUUGUACGGUUAAGUAAUUGUGGGGCUUUGUGUUCGAUCACUUGUGUUCUAUGCAGUGAAAUGCCGGAAUCUACUGGUCGGGCAUCUAUUUUACACAUGCAGCUACUACAGUCGGGUCUGGAAGGACUUCUCAGAUAAAGUAGGUACGCUUCUGUGGGAAAGAAUGCACAUCCAACCUAACCAGCAUUAGAAGGAUUCAACAUGUUGGGGUUUAUUCUGGACGGCCCUAGCGGUGAGCAUCUGGCAAAUUUGGGGGGGAGACUGGAGAGGAAGAAAAGGUAAAUCGAAGACGUCAUAAGACCACCAGCCAUUGUCGCGGCAGAAUUCAUUCGGAAUCUUUAGAUAAUCUACAUGCAUAGCAAUUUCAAGGCACCAAAUAGCACUUCCUCAGAGGAAUUAUUGGUAACCAACUGUCUCUAAUCAGCUAGCUAAUGAUAAUUUGUAACAAAUCAAACUAAGUUUACAAUUUAAUAAAGUUGCUUCUUCAAAAAAAAAAAAUUGAUAUAAACUAGGUGUUAAAAAAAAAAAAAGAACACAAGUUGGGGAUUCCAAUAUUAAGAUAUGUCUAUCCAGAAAUAGAAAUGCUACAGACAAAAUAGCCCACCAUUAAUCAAGAAGAAAAAUUAGACGAUUCAUAAUUUAAUGUUACCACUACAUCUCUGUAAGCAAGCUUUUACUUUCUUUAACCUAAUUUAUAAAUAACCAAACAAUUGGGCAAUUGAGUAAAUGAGUAUCUCUCUAUUCUAUUUCCUGAUUUUUUUUAACUUGGGGGCAACUGAGCAUGUCAUCAUUUAUUUUCUUGCACAUGCAAUUACAAGAUCAAUGGUUUUCAUUUGCAGACUGUAGUGGUUCUGUUUAAUUUAUGGAAUAAAUCAGAAGAUGGAACUCAUUACCGGAUUCUGAACAAGUAAUUGCCACAGUUCCUCCUUGUACCACAGUACCAGGGAGAAAGCUACAGGAAGAAAUAAAUGAUAGGGC